AUUGAACGCUGGCGGCAGGCCUAAUACAUGCAAGUCGAGCGGAGCGGCGGACGGGUGAGUAAUGCCUAGGAAUCUGCCUGGUGGUGGGGGAUAACGUCCGGAAACGGGCGCUAAUACCGCAUACUAUCAGAUGAGCCUAGGUCGGAUUAGCUAGUUGGUGGGGUAAAGGCCUACCAAGGCGACGAUCCGUAACUGGCCUGAGAGGAUGAUCAGUCACACUGGAACGGAGACACGGUCCAGACUCCUACGGGAGGCAGCAGUGGGGAAUCUUGGACAAUGGGCGAAAGCCUGAUCCAGCCAUGCCGCGUGUGUGAAGAAGGUCUUCGGAUUGUAAAGCUCUGUAAGUUGGGAAGCGUUACCUACAGAAUAAGCCCCGGCUAACUUCGUGCCAGCAGCCGCGGUAAUUC
rnacentral:rRNA from 1 species